rnacentral:lncRNA from 1 species
UUACAUUGUGGAAAAAUGUUAAUUUUGCUGCUUUGCUGAGUUUGUGGACCGGUUAACAGUUAUGUUUCUUUGUGGAAAAAUAUUAGCUUUGCUGUGAGUUUCUUGGGGACUAGGGGUUACUUCUUUGCUGAAUUUCUGUACAACUUUUAUGCUGAAUGUUUAGUUUAAAAAAAACUUUGGUUUUAGUGGAGCGUAAAUGUUAACGAUUUGCACUAGUAAAAGGUUUAUACCAGAAGUAAAACGUAUCAAUAUAGUACAUCAUUAGAUUUUCUCUUCCCCACACAUCAUCUCAC